UUUUUAAAUGUAUACUCUUGCGUUACAAAAAUAAAGUUUAUGUCUUGACAUCAACAAUUUUCUUAUAAAAUAUAAUAAAAAAUCUAAUCAAAACCACAUUAAAAUAUUAUUCAAAAUGCUAGCACAUCUAAAAUACAAAAAUAACAAUAAAAUGACCAUUGGAAAUUUUUUUUUACAAAAACCAAGUAGAAGAAGUAACAUUUAAGCAUAUAUCCAUUGAAGAAGACUACACACUUAAAAGCUCCCUAGAAACCUGCUCGAUGGUAGGGCGAGAUUGUGGACUAUCAACCAAACAAGAAAAUGUUGUCUUUGCAAUGCAUACUAACUGCUUAGCUUGUCGAUGAUUCACCGGACGAGAGAGACGUUGAUCCAACUUAUUCAUCAAUGGCAUACUAUCAAGUGUGGAUCCCAUGAUCAUUGUAAAGAAUUAGAUACAAUAUCUCCAGGGUGUUUUCCAAAAAGUAUUUCCAGUGCUAAUACU
rnacentral:lncRNA from 1 species